rnacentral:tRNA from 2 species
AGUGGUAUGGCAGAGAUGGUCAUGCACUUCCUUCAUACGGAAGCCUACAUCGGUUCAAGUCCGAUUACCACUUCUA